GUGUGAGAGUUUUGCGCCUCUGAGUUUGUGUAUAUGUGUAUGUGUGUGUGCAUGUGUGUGAUGAAACGCACAAGAUUUCUAUCCUAUUUUUCUCUAUUUAUUUCUUUACUUCUUUAUUUGUCUAUGUAUUUGCUUAUUGAACAACAUAACGGGGAAACUACUUCAAU